ACGGAAGGCAGCAGUGGGGAAUAUUGCACAAUGGAGGAAACUCUGAUGCAGCGACGCCGCGUGAGUGAUGAAGUAUUUCGGUACGUAAAGCUCUAUCAGCAGGGAAGAUAAUGACGGUACCUGACUAAGAAGCACCGGCUAAAUACGUGCCAGCAGCCGCGGUAAUACGUAUGGUGCAAGCGUUAUCCGGAUUUACUGGGUGUAAAGGGAGCGUAGGUGGUUUGGCAAGCCAGAAGUGAAAACCCGGGGCUCAACUCCGUGGAUUGCUUUUGGAACUGUUGAACUAGAGUGCAGGAGGGGUAAGUGGAAUUCCCAGUGUAGCGGUGAAAUGCGUAGAUAUUGGGAGGAACACCAGUGGCGAAGGCGGCUUACUGGACUGUAACUGACACUGAGGCUCGAAAGCGUGGGGAGCAAACAGGAUUAGAUACCCUGGUA
rnacentral:rRNA from 1 species